UACGGAGGGUGCAAGCGUUGCUCGGAAUUAUUGGGCGUAAAGGGUAGGUAGGUGGUCUUAUUUGUCUGGGGUGAAAGCCUUGAGCUUAACUCAAGAAGUGCCCCAGAAACGGUAAGACUAGAGUCCUGGAGAGGGUCGUGGAAUUCCCGGUGUAGCGGUGAAAUGCGUAGAGAUCGGGAGGAACACCAGAGGCGAAGGCGGCGACCUGGACAGGCACUGACACUCAACUACGAAAGCGUGGGGAGCAAACAGG
rnacentral:rRNA from 1 species